CUCGCAAGUUUGUGGAGCACGUGAAGUCCCAGGGGCAUAAGGACAAAGCCAAGGAGCUGAAGUCGCUUGAGAAAGAGAUUGCUGGCCAAGAUGAGGACCACUUCAUUACAGUGGACGCUGUGGGUUGCUUCGAGGGUGAUGAAGAAGAGGAAGAGGAUGAUGAGGAUGAAGAAGAGAUCGAGGUGAGGUCCAGAGAUAUAUCCAGAGAGGAGUGGAAGGGCUCGGAGACCUACAGCCCCAAUACUGCAUAUGGUGUGGACUUCCUGGUGCCCGUGAUGGGCUAUAUCUGCCGCAUCUGCCACAAGUUCUAUCACAGCAACUCAGGGGCACAGCUCUCCCACUGCAAGUCCCUGGGCCACUUUGAGAACCUGCAGAAAUACAAGGCGGCCAAGAACCCCAGCCCCACCACCCGACCUGUGAGCCGCCGGUGCGCAAUCAACGCCCGGAACGCUUUGACAGCCCUGUUCACCUCCAGCGGCCGCCCACCCUCCCAGCCCAACACCCAGGACAAAACACCCAGCAAGGUGACGGCUCGACCCUCCCAGCCCCCACUACCUCGGCGCUCAACCCGCCUCAAAACCUGAUAGAGGGACCUCCCUGUCCCUGGCCUGCCUGGGUCCAGAUCUGCUAAUGCUUUUUAGGAGUCUGCCUGGAAACUUUGACAUGGUUCAUGUUUUUACUCAAAAUCCAAUAAAACAAGGUAGUUUGGCUGUGCAG
rnacentral:sRNA from 1 species